rnacentral:tRNA from 1 species
AUUUAUUUAGUAUAAAAAGUACAUAAAUCUUCCAAAUUUAAAGUUUAUUUUAAAAUAAAUA